AAUGGGCGCAAGCCUGAUCCAGCCAUGCCGCGUGAGUGAUGAAGGCCCUAGGGUCGUAAAGCUCUUUCGCCUAUGAAGAUAAUGACGGUAGCAGGUAAAGAAACCCCGGCUAACUCCGUGCCAGCAGCCGCGGUAAUACGGAGGGGGUUAGCGUUGUUCGGAAUUACUGGGCGUAAAGCGCGCGUAGGCGGAUUAGUCAGUCAGAGGUGAAAUCCCAGGGCUCAACCCUGGAACUGCCUUUGAUACUGCUAGUCUUGAGUUCGAGAGAGGUAAGUGGAAUUCCGAGUGUAGAGGUGAAAUUCGUAGAUAUUCGGAGGAACACCGGUGGCGAAGGCGGCUUACUGGCUCGAUACUGACGCUGAGGUGCGAAAGUGUGGGGAGCAAACAGGAUU
rnacentral:rRNA from 1 species